GAGUGGCGCACGGGUGCGUAACGCGUGGAAACCUGCCCUUAGGUUCGGAAUAACUCAGAGAAAUUUGAGCUAAUACCGGAUAAUGUCUUCGGACCAAAGAUUUAUCGCCUUUGGAUGGGCCCGCGUAGGAUUAGAUAGUUGGUGGGGUAAUGGCCUACCAAGUCGACGAUCCUUAGCUGGUCUGAGAGGAUGAUCAGCCACACUGGGACUGAAACACGGCCCACACUCCUACGGGAGGCAGCAGUGGGGAAUAUUGGACAAUGGGCGAAAGCCUGAUCCAUCAAUGCCGCGUGAGUGAUGAAGGCCUUAGGGUUGUAAAGCUCUUUUACCAGGGAUGAUAAUGACAGUACCUGGAGAAUAAGCUCCGGCUAACUCCGUGCCAGCAGCCGCGGUAAUACGGAGGGAGCUAGCGUUGUUCGGAAUUACUGGGCGUAAAGCGCACGUAGGCGGCUUUUCAAGUCAGGGGUGAAAUCCCGGGGCUCAACCCCGGAACUGCCCUU
rnacentral:rRNA from 1 species